GACGAACGCUGGCGGCGUGCUUAACACAUGCAAGUCGAGCGGUAAGGCCCUUUCGGGGGUACACGAGCGGCGAACGGGUGAGUAACACGUGGGUGACCUGCCCUCAGCUCUGGGAGUAAGCCUGGGAAACCGGGUCUAAUACCGGAUAUGACUCCAUGACGCAUGUUGUGGGGUGGAAAGCCUUGUGCGGCUGAGGAUGGGCCCGCGGCCUAUCAGCUUGUUGGUGGGGUGAUGGCCUACCAAGGCGACGACGGGUAGCCGGCCUGAGAGGGCGACCGGCCACACUGGGACUGAGACACGGCCCAGACUCCUACGGGAGGCAGCAGUGGGGAAUCUUGCGCAAUGGGCGAAAGCCUGACGCAGCGACGCCGCGUGAGGGAUGACGGCCU
rnacentral:rRNA from 1 species